GUUUUCUUUGGCAUUGCAUGUACUAAAAUUGGAAUGAGGCGAAGAUUAGAAUGUCCCCUGCCGAAAGAUGACACACAAAUUGGUGAAGUGUUCCUACUUAAA